CAGUGUCUCUCUGGGACUUGCAGGACUUGCUGAAGAAGUAUUACUCGGGCAUCCCUGUCUCCCCAGUGCCUCUCAAGGUGGUUCUGGCCCUGGAGCAGUUGAGCAAGCUGAAGCCCUCUUUUGAAAGCAAGGAUGCGGGUGAGAUGUUGGUCCUGUGCUGCAAAAACAUUGUGACACACCCUUCAGCGGAGAUGAUGCUGAAGAUCAGGAAGUCAAAGCAAGCAGCUCAGUACCUGCAGCUUCAGCAAACAUCACUGAAAGCUCUGGGCCGGCUCAUGGCAGUCCUGCUGGAGACAGAGCCCACCGGCAGCUUCUUUCAGAACAUAGU